rnacentral:rRNA from 1 species
GGGUUGUGAGGUUAAGCGACUAAGCGUACACGGUGGAUGCCCUGGCAGUCAGAGGCGAUGAAGGACGUGCUAAUCUGCGAAAAGCGUCGGUAAGGUGAUAUGAACCGUUAUAACCGGCGAUGUCCGAAUGGGGAAACCCAGUGCAAUUCGUUGCACUAUCGUUAACUGAAUACAUAGGUUAACGAGGCGAACCGGGGGAACUGAAACAUCUAAGUACCCCGAGGAAAAGAAAUCAACCGAGAUUCCCCCAGUAGCGGCGAGCGAACGGGGAGCAGCCCAGAGUCUGAAUCAGCUUGUGUGUUAGUGGAACGGUCUGGAAAGUCCGACGGUACAGGGUGAUAGUCCCGUACACCAAAAUGCACAGGUUGUGAACUCGAAGAGUAGGGCGGGACACGUGGUAUCCUGUCUGAAUAUGGGGGGACCAUCCUCCAAGGCUAAAUACUCCUGACUGACCGAUAGUGAACCAGUACCGUGAGGGAAAGGCGAAAAGAACCCCGGCGAGGGGAGUGAAAAAGAACCUGAAACCGUGUACGUACAAGCAGUGGGAGCACCUUCGGGUGUGACUGCGUACCUUUUGUAUAAUGGGUCAGCGACUUAUAUUCUGUAGCAAGGUUAACCGUAUAGGGGAGCCGCAGGGAAACCGAGUCUUAACUGGGCGUUAAGUUGCAGGGUAUAGACCCGAAACCCGGUGAUCUAGCCAUGGGCAGGUUGAAGGUUGGGUAACACUAACUGGAGGACCGAACCGACUAAUGUUGAAAAAUUAGCGGAUGACUUGUGGCUGGGGGUGAAAGGCCAAUCAAACCGGGAGAUAGCUGGUUCUCCCCGAAAGCUAUUUAGGUAGCGCCUCGUGAAUUCAUCUUCGGGGGUAGAGCACUGUUUCGGCUAGGGGGUCAUCCCGACUUACCAACCCGAUGCAAACUACGAAUACCGAAGAAUGUUAUCACGGGAGACACACGGCGGGUGCUAACGUCCGUCGUGAAGAGGGAAACAACCCAGACCGCCAGCUAAGGUCCCAAAGUCAUGGUUAAGUGGGAAACGAUGUGGGAAGGCACAGACAGCCAGGAUGUUGGCUUAGAAGCAGCCAUCAUUUAAAGAAAGCGUAAUAGCUCACUGGUCGAGUCGGCCUGCGCGGAAGAUGUAACGGGGCUAAACCAUGCACCGAAGCUGCGGCAGCGACACUAUGUGUUGUUGGGUAGGGGAGCGUUCUGUAAGCCUGCGAAGGUGACCUGUGAGGGUUGCUGGAGGUAUCAGAAGUGCGAAUGCUGACAUAAGUAACGAUAAAGCGGGUGAAAAGCCCGCUCGCCGGAAGACCAAGGGUUCCUGUCCAACGUUAAUCGGGGCAGGGUGAGUCGACCCCUAAGGCGAGGCCGAAAGGCGUAGUCGAUGGGAAACAGGUUAAUAUUCCUGUACUUGGUGUUACUGCGAAGGGGGGACGGAGAAGGCUAUGUUAGCCGGGCGACGGUUGUCCCGGUUUAAGCAUGUAGGCUGGUUGUCCAGGCAAAUCCGGAUAAUCAAGGCUGAGGUGUGAUGACGAGGCACUACGGUGCUGAAGUAACAAAUGCCCUGCUUCCAGGAAAAGCCUCUAAGCAUCAGGUAACAUUAAAUCGUACCCCAAACCGACACAGGUGGUCAGGUAGAGAAUACCAAGGCGCUUGAGAGAACUCGGGUGAAGGAACUAGGCAAAAUGGUGCCGUAACUUCGGGAGAAGGCACGCUGGUGUGUAGGUGAAGUCCCUGCGGAUGGAGCUGAGACCAGUCGAAGAUACCAGCUGGCUGCAACUGUUUAUUAAAAACACAGCACUGUGCAAACACGAAAGUGGACGUAUACGGUGUGACGCCUGCCCGGUGCCGGAAGGUUAAUUGAUGGGGUUAUCCGUAAGGAGAAGCUCUUGAUCGAAGCCCCGGUAAACGGCGGCCGUAACUAUAACGGUCCUAAGGUAGCGAAAUUCCUUGUCGGGUAAGUUCCGACCUGCACGAAUGGCGUAAUGAUGGCCAGGCUGUCUCCACCCGAGACUCAGUGAAAUUGAACUCGCUGUGAAGAUGCAGUGUACCCGCGGCAAGACGGAAAGACCCCGUGAACCUUUACUAUAGCUUGACACUGAACAUUGAGCCUUGAUGUGUAGGAUAGGUGGGAGGCUUUGAAGCGUGGACGCCAGUCUGCGUGGAGCCAACCUUGAAAUACCACCCUUUAAUGUUUGAUGUUCUAACGUUGGCCCCUGACCGGGGUUGCGGACAGUGUCUGGUGGGUAGUUUGACUGGGGCGGUCUCCUCCCAAAGCGUAACGGAGGAGCACGAAGGUUAGCUAAUCCUGGUCGGACAUCAGGAGGUUAGUGCAAUGGCAUAAGCUAGCUUGACUGCGAGCGUGACGGCGCGAGCAGGUGCGAAAGCAGGUCAUAGUGAUCCGGUGGUUCUGAAUGGAAGGGCCAUCGCUCAACGGAUAAAAGGUACUCCGGGGAUAACAGGCUGAUACCGCCCAAGAGUUCAUAUCGACGGCGGUGUUUGGCACCUCGAUGUCGGCUCAUCACAUCCUGGGGCUGAAGUAGGUCCCAAGGGUAUGGCUGUUCGCCAUUUAAAGUGGUACGCGAGCUGGGUUUAGAACGUCGUGAGACAGUUCGGUCCCUAUCUGCCGUGGGCGCUGGAGAAUUGAGGGGGGCUGCUCCUAGUACGAGAGGACCGGAGUGGACGCAUCACUGGUGUUCGGGUUGUCAUGCCAAUGGCACUGCCCGGUAGCUAAAUGCGGAAGAGAUAAGUGCUGAAAGCAUCUAAGCACGAAACUUGCCCCGAGAUGAGUUCUCCCUGAGACUUUAAGUCUCCUGAAGGAACGUU